rnacentral:rRNA from 1 species
CGUACGGCUCAGUAACACGUAGUCAACCUGCCCUGGAGACGCGGACAAACCCGGGAAACUGGGGCCUAUCCGCGAUAGGCGACUUCAUCUGGAAGGAGAAGUCGUCGAAAAGGGCGCACGGGUAUGCUCUGUGCGAACCGCUCCAGGAUGGGACUGCGGCCGAUCAGGCUGUUGGCGGGGUAAUGGCCCACCAAACCUGUAACCGGUACGGGCUUUGAGAGAAGGAGCCCGGAGAUGGACACUGAGACAAGGGUCCAGGCCCUACGGGGCGCAUCAGGCGCGAAAACUUCGCAAUGCGCGAAAGCGUGACGAGGCUAGUCCGAGUGCUUCCUGCUAAAGGGAGCUUUUCUCGGCUGUAAAUAGGCCGGGGAAUAAGGGGAGGGCAAGUCUGGUGUCAGCCGCCGCGGUAAUACCAGCUCCUCGAGUGGUCGGGACGAUUAUUGGGCCUAAAGCACCCGUAGCCGGUUCCGUAAGUCCUCUGUUAAAUCCAGUUGCUCAACGGCUGGCCUGCAGAGGAUACUGCGUGACUAGGAGGCGGGAGAGGCGGACGGUACUCCGCGUGUAGGGGUAAAAUCCUUUGAUCCGCGGAAGACCACCAGUGGCGAAGGCGGUCCGCCAGAACGCGCUCGACGGUGAGGGGUGAAAGCUGGGGGAGCGAACC